ensembl:snRNA U2 U2 spliceosomal RNA
GAAACUUCUUGGCCUUUUGGCUAAGCUUAAGUGUAGUAUCUGUUCUUAUCAGUUUAAUUACAGGAUUCUGCGGGUAUCACAUUCUAAAUAUAUCUCAACUCCAUCCUUU